UGCAAGUCGAACGAGAUCUUCGGGUCUAGUGGCGCACGGGUGCGUAACGCGUGGGAAUCUGCCCUUUGGUUCGGAAUAACAGUUGGAAACGACAGCUAAUACCGGAUGAUGACGAAAGUCCAAAGAUUUAUCGCCAGAGGAUGAGCCCGCGUAGGAUUAGCUAGUUGGUGUGGUAAAGGCGCACCAAGGCGACGAUCCUUAGCUGGUCUGAGAGGAUGAUCAGCCACACUGGGACUGAGACACGGCCCAGACUCCUACGGGAGGCAGCAGUGGGGAAUAUUGGACAAUGGGCGAAAGCCUGAUCCAGCAAUGCCGCGUGAGUGAUGAAGGCCUUAGGGUUGUAAAGCUCUUUUACCCGGGAUGAUAAUGACAGUACCGGGAGAAUAAGCUCCGGCUAACUCCGUGCCAGCAGCCGCGGUAAUACGGAGGGAGCUAGCGUUGUUCGGAAUUACUGGGCGUAAAGCGCACGUAGGCGGCUUUGUAAGUUAGAGGUGAAAGCCUGGAGCUCAACUCCAGAACUGCCUUUAAGACUGCAUCGCUUGAAUCCAGGAGAGGUGAGUGGAAUUCCGAGUGUAGAGGUGAAAUUCGUAGAUAUUCGGAAGAACACCAGUGGCGAAGGCGGCUCACUGGACU
rnacentral:rRNA from 1 species